rnacentral:rRNA from 1 species
UACGUAGGGUGCAGGCAUUAAUCGGAAUUAUUGGGCGUAAAGGGCGCGUAGGCGGAUUGAUAAGUCAGAUGUGAAAUACCAAAGCUCAACUUUGGUGCUGCAUUUGAAACUGUCUCUCUAGAGGAUUGACGGAGAAAGCGGAAUUCCACGUGUAGCGGUGAAAUGCGUAGAUACGUGGAGGAACACCGGGGGCGAAAGCGGCUUUCUAGUUUAUACCUGACUCUGAGGCGCGAGAGCGAGGGGAGCAAACAGG